rnacentral:lncRNA from 1 species
CUACAUACCAAGGCACUGCUUCACAAUACAAUCAAAAGUAAACUCUACAAUGAGAUCCCCACUGUUAGCGACAGCCCUACUCGAAGCUAUUUCCUCCUCCAAUUCAACAGGCUCUUCCCAAUAAGGUCCACUGAAGGCUUGUCUAAGAACAUUUGAGCAAUGUGUCAGAAGCCGAUGCCUCAUUUUUCUCUCUUCCUUCAGGAUGGCAACUUUAAUGAGGACAAACCCCAGGAAAAUCUCUGAUAACUCCCAACAACCUGUUCAUGUUCGGGUUUACCACUAUGAAGAAUCCUAUGGCUAAGCAAGUAUUCAGGCAUCAAGUACAAAGGACAAGCACAUACGAAUGCUACAUUGCCAAGAAAUUGUUCUAUCCUCCUGCUUGGUGUGUGCAAACUGUUCCCGGAAUGCUACCAGAAUCUAUUCAUAUUUCCAUCACUGUCAGGAUGAAGGAACACAGCUCAUGACAUGUUGUUGACAAACAGCGGCGAAGAAGUCUCCCUCCAGAAGGGAGUGUUGGUCCAUUCCUAAAAGACGCUCACACAUUCAUCACAUAGAUUUCUCAUGUUGAACUUUAUUCUUGCCAAAUUUCUCCCCAAGAAAUGUCACCAGAAACAACAAAGCAGAAAAUAUGAGAGGGAAAUUCAAGAGAAAGAUCUCUGCCAUUGCACAUCAAGACUGCUGUGCUGUGAGGUCAUUCCCAAGCUGGUUUGACUUCUAGAGCAGGCAAAAUGCUAGCCUCGUCUUCAGUGAAGCCACAUCAAGGGCAGAUUCUGAGAUUUGCUGCCAGGCAUUUGGGAGAAUUUUGAUUGUCUUGUCAUCUCAGAUCCAAAGGAAGUACAAGGAGAAGUAUAAUGAAUUGUUUCUACAAAAAGACAAUUUUAGAUUUCAUGUGAUAUACUUGGUUGAAUAAAAA